rnacentral:lncRNA from 1 species
GGUAAAGUUUAAGAAUGUAACACAUUUUGACUUCAAAAGCAUUUGUAGUUGUUUCAUUUUGAAAGGCGCAUUAUUUUUUUAAUUAAAAACAUGAUUAUUACAGAAUGCUCAAUUUAUGGAUAUUGUAUUAAUUCAUUUUGAAACAUCAUAAAGAAAUGCCACAUUUUUUUGGUUCGAAAUUAGUAAAAUGUUAUUUGUGCGAUCAAAGAAUAAAGCUUGUGGUAGAAUAAGACCAUCUUUCUCUGACAGCAACAAUCGGUGUGUCUUUCCUUCUGGUGAUAUUAAAACUACAUUAUGAGAAUAAAAGCCCGAUACAUAAACACGCCCGUAAUUGUCCACUGUGAUACCUCGUGCUGUUUUAAGAAAUGUUGCAAGUUCUAAUUUCCAUUUCAAUGUCCCUUGAAGAUCACAACAUGUUACUGAAUCAUCAGUAUUUAUAUAAUAAAGUUGAUCUGACCAUAUUGCAAUACUGCUAUAUUUAGACAGGGUACCAUUAACUAACUGUGUAAUAGAGUCAGCAUCUAAACUUACAACACAUAAUCCACGUGUAUAUCCAUUAAAGAAAAAUGAUUCGUCAUUAUGAGCUAUUCCAUAAAUCUCUGUCCCGACAAUAAUGGAUUUCUCAGCUUUUCUGGUUUUCAUAUCGAAAAUUUUAAUGCAAGGGUUUUUAAAAUUACCAGAUGUUACCACAAUUGUUUGGCGUUCUGCUAUAAAGUAUAUAUGAGAUGCGUUCGAAGCUGCAUGUAAUGUAAAAUCUAACGACCCGUCGGUGUUUACCACAUUUAUUUGGCCAUUAGUGAAGCAGGUAAAAAUCGUUCUGCCAUCUGGUAGUAAGAUACAACUAGUAAUAUCUCUUCCUAUUGGUUUCAUGGUCUGUCUUAAAGUUAUUUUAAGAUCAUCAAUGGUAGGAACAUGUGCAAUGGGCAGCAUUAUCUGUGCUUGUUUGUUCUUUCUGCUUGCAUAUAUAGUAUCAUUUGGCCUGGUAUCCAAAAUAAUUGUUCCCAUCUUGUGUAUAGCUGAAGGUAGAGUGUCGAAAGUAUUUUCUUUUUCAAAAGAAAGGGUAACAUGAUUCAAUUUAUCUUCUUUCAAUAAAGCUUCUAGGAAUUUUUCGUUUUUUGUUACAUCUUGUUGGAUGUGUUUCAUAGCCAAGAACGUCUGGAGAUCUGAGGCAUAUUGUUUUAUUUUAUCUAAAUUGGUCUGGCAUUCUGUAUUCUCCCUUUCUUUCUCUUGUAUGGAUGAUAUUAAACAGCUGAUUUUCUUGUUUUCCUUUUCCUCAGCAACAUACAACUCUUUCAUCAGACUUUCCUGUAGUUUAUCCAGAUGAUUGUUGAUCAAUACUCGUGCUUGUACAAUCUCUUUUUCUAUGUUGAUCCUGUUCUCCUGAAGAAUUUUAAUGUUAUCUUGCCGAUCUUUUUUUAUCCUCUGUAAAUUUUCUGAAAGUUCUGCUAACAUAUGUUCCAUUUCCAAGAAUGCAUUUGAUGAUUUCACAUUUUUUAUUACGUCAUCAAUAGCGUUUAGCUCUUUGCAAUCAUCAUGCGUUUCAACAACACAUCGUCUACAGCAUGGACAAUCGUGUUUCUUACAAAAUAUAACGUAUUUUUCAUUGUGCUUUUGACAAGAUUGAGUUAUUUCAAAUAUAUUGAGAGGAAGCUUCUGGUACUCGGAGAUUGGAACAGUACUAUGUUCUCUGGUCCCUUUUGAAGCUGUGUGAUGCUCUUUACACUCCUCACAAAGUCCUUCGUCGCAUUCUGAACACCAGACCACCGAGGAGUUGUUGAUUUUGCGGUAUGCACAUACUCCACAUACAGUCAGUUUACCCGACAUGCUACAAAACAGAAGAGACAAAAAAUUCCUUUACC